UGGGUCUUCCAGAGUGGAAAGCCGAAGUGUUUCCACACGGCCAAUCCGACUGACAUUCUAAAGUGGUUAGAAGAAAACCUUAUACUAAUCCGUGAUGAUAAGUCUCGAAAAAAUAGUUACAUUCAAGCAAAACCACUAUUCGGCUAUGCUUAACGCAUCCGUCCAUCGAAGACUGAUAGUAAAGAAUUUACCCAAAAUCCUAGCGGUCGACUUGCGCUAGAAAAGCUCUUGAAGAGUAACAGCUUACCAUCUGAACUUAGUGACGAAAGUUCAUAACCCUGUAUGUCCAUCUCUAUUUGGUUAUAUGAAAAAAAACAGCCAGUUAGUAUCAGACUAAUAGUGGAAACUAGAAGGUCGACGUUGCACAACAUAGAUAAUGCAUUUUCCAGUUUUUAUGACUACACCACUAGUCCUCAGACGACUUUUUGUAAGAAUAACGACAUGCCAUCAUACAACAAUCAUAUCACAAUUCGGGAUUUUGAGAAAUUGUACUUUUCAGUUAAGCUCUCGACAAUUUACUUGGCUUUAUAUAGGUUUUUACUCCAAACUUUGAAAGUUCUACAG
rnacentral:lncRNA from 1 species